rnacentral:lncRNA from 1 species
CCUAGGCAGAGCAGGCCCUAGCAAUACAACAAUGAAAGAUGCAGUUCUUGAUCUCUGCAUAAAGGAGACAGAUAAUUACUUAUGAUCAGUGUUAUUAUAAAGACAUAGUCAAAGUGCUAAGAAUAUGAUAGAGAAGAGCAGAUUUGAUUUUGUGUGGUCAGGUUGUCAAGGAGGGCUCCUCAGAGUAGUCAUUUGUGUAAGCUGAACCUUAGUAGGAUCUAGUGUUAAGCAUUUGCGUUAGAGAGAAUACUGACUGGCUAGACCAGGGGACAAACAUGAGCAUAAUCCCAGAGGUGUGGAAGAAGUGGUAUAUUUCAGCAAUUC